UUAAUUAAAGCUAAAAUAGAAGCUAUUCACUGUUAAUGAAAGAACUGGUAGACACCUAAUUAAA
rnacentral:tRNA from 1 species